rnacentral:rRNA from 1 species
GACGAACGCUGGCGGCGUGCUUAACACAUGCAAGUCGAACGGAAAGGCCCUGCUUUUGUGGGGUGCUCGAGUGGCGAACGGGUGAGUAACACGUGAGUAACCUGCCCUUGACUUUGGGAUAACUUCAGGAAACUGGGGCUAAUACCGGAUAGGAGCUCCUGCUGCAUGGUGGGGGUUGGAAAGUUUCGGCGGUUGGGGAUGGACUCGCGGCUUAUCAGCUUGUUGGUGGGGUAGUGGCUUACCAAGGCUGUGACGGGUAGCCGGCCUGAGAGGGUGACCGGCCACAUUGGGACUGAGAUACGGCCCAGACUCCUACGGGAGGCAGCAGUGGGGAAUAUUGCACAAUGGGCGGAAGCCUGAUGCAGAAACGCCGCGUGCGGGAUGACGGCCUUCGGGUUGUAAACCGCUUUCGCCUGUGACGAAGCGUGAGUGACGGUAAUGGGUAAAGAAGCACCGGCUAACUACGUG